AUUGAACGCUGGCGGCAUGCUUUACACAUGCAAGUCGAACGGUAACAGGCCGCAAGGUGCUGACGAGUGGCGAACGGGUGAGUAAUGCAUCGGAACGUGCCCAGUCGUGGGGGAUAACUAUCCGAAAGGAUAGCUAAUACCGCAUACGAUCUGCGGAUGAAAGCGGGGGACCUUCGGGCCUCGCGCGAUUGGAGCGGCCGAUGUCAGAUUAGGCAGUUGGUGGGGUAAAGGCUCACCAAGCCAACGAGCUGUAGCUGGUCUGAGAGGACGACCAGCCACACUGGGAAUGGGACACGGCCCAGACUCCUACGGGAGGCAGCAGUGGGGAAUUUUGGACAAUGGGCGCAAGCCUGAUCCAGCAAUGCCGCGUGCAGGAAGAAGGCCUUCGGGUUGUAAACUGCUUUUGUACGGAACGAAACGGCUCUGGUUAAUACCUGGGGCUAAUGACGGUACCGUAAGAAUAAGCACCGGCUAACUACGUGCCAGCCGCCGCGGUAA
rnacentral:rRNA from 1 species